ACUGGUAGAGCAAUCACGUUAUAUGCUGUUUUAUAACUUAUGUAUUUUCAUAAUGAUGUGUAACACAAAAAAAAUAAUUCUAUUUAUUGCAUUUUUGGGAUACCCUUUGAGAAUUUUCAUAUUGUGACCGACCCAGCGCCAUCUUGUCACAUUUGCGACGUACAUCUGAUGAUCCAGAACAUGACGAGGACGAACGGGAAAAACAAAUUAGGAAUAUAAUAUUUGGUGGACAAGAUAAAAGGAGUUUCAGGUCAUAAGAGAAGAUACCAGAGCUUCAUCCAUCGUGGAUGUUUAUCCAGAGAAUUGCAUCAUGUGCUUGGAGAAAUGCAUAGAGUCCUUGCUCCCCACAAUGCUGAAUUCUUCGAGGAAGUCAGAAUGAGAUGGGAGGAUUGCUGCGCCAGGGUCAUUUUACGGAAGGCAAAGAAGGCAAUAAAGCCACCAAUCAACAGGGAUAAAAUGGAAGCCAACUUUGCUCUGGUGAAGGCCCUUGCCAUUCUCUUUCCCCCAGUGGCACCUCCAUCAAAGAAACUGGGGUGUGCUAGUGAAGCUUUACUGCAUGUUCAGGAGUCAACAGAAGAUCCAAACGUCUUCAUCCAGAAGAAAGGCCUUUCAAGUCCAGUCUUGGUAUUCGAUGGCUGUAGAUGAAUCGUUGCUAUUG